rnacentral:tmRNA from 1 species
GGGGUAGUAAAGGUUUCGACGGGGGUUAUGCAGCUGGAGAAGCUAUCCGCAGGCGAUGCGUCAAAUCGCGACAAUAAAUAUAAACGCUGAAGAUAAUUUAGCAAUCGCUGCCUAAUGGCAGCUGUCUGACUUAGAGCACCUGCACUUUAAGAUCCAGGCAUCGACUAUGCAGGAAACGACGUAUGUUAAGCUUUGCGCAUGCGGGCGUAUCAUGAAGCUACCAAAGGCAGCCAGGUGUCAGUUCCCGGCUGUCGGAGGGAAUGAUAAAUAACUGACUAUGAUAGUAGAAGGACAGUGAAUUGGCUUUCGGACACGGGUUCGAUUCCCGUCUACUCCA